GGCACUUUGGCGGAGUGGUCAACGCGUAAGACUGCUAAUCUUAUUCCUUCGGGUGCCUGGGUUCGAAUCCCAGAGGUGUCG